AUAAGUUUUGUCCUGGCUUUAAAGUCAACUAUAACCUAUAUUACACAUGCAAGCAUCCGCAAACCAGUGAGAAAGCCCAAAACAACCUAGGAGCUGAUAUCAGGCACAACAAAAGUUAGCCAAUAACAUCUAGCUCAUGCCACUCCCCCAAGGGUAUAACAGCAGUGAUAAACAUUAGUAAAUGAGCACACAAACUCGAACUAGACAUGGCCAAUUAGGGUUGGCUAAUCUCGUGCCAGCCGCCGCGGUUAUACGAGAAACCCAAGUUGACAACCUACGGCAUAAAGUGUGAUAACGAAUAAGUCCACAUCAUAAGACUGAAGCCAAACUAAACUGUCACACGUAUUAGUAAGCAAUAAACCCAAUUACACAAAAGUAGUCUUAAUUUUAAGACCUUUCAUCAUCACGACCGCUAAGACACAAACUGGGAUUAGAUACCCCACUAUGCUUAGCUACAAACUGAACUACAUUUCCACCAGAACACUACGAGUAAACACUUAAAAAUCAAAGGACUUGGCGGUGCUCAAAAUCUAUCCAGAGGAGCCUGUUCUAUAAUCGAUAAUCCACGCUAAACCUUACCACUCUUUGCCAAACAGCCUAUAUACCACCGUCUACAGCUUACCCUACUGAAGGAUAACAAGUGAGCAAAAUAAACCUACUAAAAACGUCAGGUCAAGGUGUAGCAUAUAGAGUGGCAAGAAAUGGGCUACAUUUUCUUAUUAAGAAAAAACGAAAAAGAAAAUGAAAAAUUUCUUAGAAGGCGGAUUUGGCAGUAAAAAGAAACAAUCAAGUUCUUUUUAACACAGCCCUUGAGCGCGCACACACCGCCCGUCACCCUCAUCAACUUAAUCAACUUACUUAAUAAAACAUAAUGCAUAAACAGAAGAGGAAAGUCGUAACAUGGUAAGCGUACUGGAAAGUGCUCUUGGAAU
rnacentral:ncRNA from 1 species